GGCUUGAACCUGGGAGGCGAGGGUUGCAGUGAGCUGAGAUCGCACCACUGCACUCCAGCCUGGGUGACAGAGCGAGACUUCGUCUCAAAAAAAAAAGAAGAAAGAAGGAAGCUGAGGUUCAGACAGGCUAAGUCCCUACUGCAGGCUGCGGAAUCUAAAAAGGUCAUGAACUCUGAGAGUUUGAGCUGAGCCUCUAAAAGCUGUAUCAAUAGCACCUUGCACUGUUGAAGCAGGUAAGUGUUUUCCUUGUUACUUCUUAAGUUCAGUUGGAAACCCAACAUAGCAAAUCCUCUGGAAUGCAGCUGAAGCAGUACUAAGGCUGGGUGUGGUGGCUCAUGCCUAUAAUCCUGUAGGGAGGCAAAAGCGGGAGGAUUGCUGGAGCCCAGGAGUUCAAGACCAGCCUGGGCAACACGGCAAGACCUGGUUCUCCACAAAAAGGAAAAAAAAAAUGCUAAGAGGCAAGUAUAUAGCAAUAAACUCCUACAUCAAAAAAGUAGAAACAUUUCAAAUAAGAGA
rnacentral:lncRNA from 1 species